UCAAAAUUUAACAUGCACAAUAAUUGUCCAACAUUUAAACAGAAUACAAAAAAAAGUUUUAGACAAUCGAAUAACAGUACAACUAUAGCAUAACAGUCUGUAGAUCUAACUUUAGAAAAUAGCAGAAGACACACACAAAGAAUCUUAAAUUAAAAAUUCAACAUACAGCCAAUAAUUUAACCAAAGAAUUGAAGGAUCCUGUUUUGCGAGCUAUAAUACUAAUUGAAAGAUAGUUUUCCUAAUUACAACUUAUAAAAUAGCCACACUCUGAACUCUAUAGAAUGGUACAUUGAUACUCAAAAUUAGCUCCCUGAUAAACAAUCAGAAUUUAAUAUACCUGAGACAGAAGAUUCUCAUCAGUUGGGAGCCUCAGGUCAUCUUUUGUGUUCCCAUUUUCAGUAAGCAAACUCACAAAUCCAUCCUCAGAA
rnacentral:misc_RNA from 1 species